ensembl:lncRNA
GAGCUAUGGGGAUAGAGACACCACGUAGAGCUAUGGGGAUAGAGACACUACGUAGAGCUAUGGGGAUAGAGACACCAUGUAGUAGAGCUAUGGGGAUAGAGAUGAACCACGUAGAGCUAUGGGGAUAGAGACACCACGUAGAGCUAUGGGGAUGGAGACACCACGUAGAGCUAUGGGGAUAGAGACACCAUGUAGUAGAGCUAUGGGGAUAGAGACACACCACGUAGAGCUAUGGGGAUAGAGACACCACGUAGAGCUAUGGGGAUAGAGACACACCACGUAGAGCUAUGGGGAUAGAGACACCACGUAGAGCUAUGGGGAUAGAGACACCACGUAGAGCUAUGGGGAUAGAGACACACACGUAGAGCUAUGGGGAUAGAGACACACCACAUAGAGCUAUGGGGAUAGAGACACCACGUAGAGCUAUGGAGAUAGAGACACCACGUAGAGCUAUGGGGAUAGAGACACCACGUAGAGCUAUGGGGAUAGAGACACCACGUAGAGCUAUGGGGAUAGAGACAACACGUAGUAGAGCUAUGGGGAUGGAGACACCACGUAGAGCUAUGGGGAUAGAGACACCACGUAGAGCUAUGGGGAUAGAGAUACACCACGUAGAGCUAUGGGGAUAGAGAUACACCACGUAGAGCUAUGGGGAUAGAGAAACCACGUAGAACUAUGGAGAUAGAGAUACACCACGUAGAGCUAUGGGGAUAGAGAGACCUCAGCAUCAUCCACCCCCAUCACUGCCUCAGUCCUAAGACUCGUCAGGAUAUACAACUGUGUGUGUGUGUGUGUGUGUGUGUGUGUGUGUGUUGCAGGACAAAGCCCACGUCCAGAACAAGCCCCAAGCUACCAGCCAGAGGUCCAGCUUCUGGUCCCGCUCGGACAAAAAGCCCACGGUGCAAGGACACGCAGCCGAUGACAUCAUCGUGGCCAAGAGUGAUUCUGCUUGUAGGAGGAAAAAAUCGUUCACUCAACACAUCAGAGAGAGAUCAAAGAGCCUGAAGGAGGGCCUCUCCGUCCAGGACAAGAGGAAGCUGUUUGAGUCGUUGUGAGGCUCAUCCAUCCAUCAGUCAUCCAUCCAUCGUGGCUCCUGGACCAGUGGGACAGAAGGCUUCUCCUCUAGGAAGAAUGAAAUAGGAUGGAAUGUUUUCAUUGGAUUUUACUACUGCAAUUCUUGUCACUGAUAUUUGCAAAUAGAUACUAUUGUGUGUGUGUGUGUGUGUGUGUGUGUGUGUGUGUGUGUGGGUGUGGGGUGUGGGUGUGGGUGUGUGUGUGUGUGCCACUAGAUGGCGCCUCUGACGCAUGAUAAACAACAAGCCGUCCUAACGCUCCAUUCCGUCUGUUCAACCGAGCGGAACGAAUCGUUUCCUUUGUUAAGUUCUUCAUUUUAUGACCAAAGAUGUCUGGCAGAAUAUUUUACUUGAGUGAGAAAUUAAAUGUUUAAGCUGUU